UUUCUCAGUUCCCCUUAUAUAUUCGUUCUUUCAUUAAAUUCUAGGAUCAAUUUGAUGCUGUACAGAGUCUAUUUCUGGGAGCCAAUGACUUAGGAAUAUUGAAUUUUCCAAACUCAGUAACACGGCUUAACUGAUCCUCAGAAUAAACCACCGGACCACCAUCUAACUGAUGGAUCGGGCACCUCAGUCCUCAGCUGUAGCCUAUACAAGGUGUCCCUGCUGUGAGCUAGGAGCCCACAAAGAGUUCUGCCGGAGACGGGUGUUCAUCAGAAGGUGAAAUCACCUUUGCGUUUUGAUCCAUGGCUUCCAAAGAUAGAAGAGAUGAUUGGUUUUCCCCGAGAUUCAAAUGAUACCGGCAUCCCGAACGAUGCUCAGAGAAUGUCGCUUUAAACAACAAAAUGAAGGCGUCCAUUGAUGGAUCUCCCACCCUUGCUGCUCCUGGCAGCGUCGCGUCGCUUUGGCUUGUGAAGAGGGCCGUGCCAGGAUUUCCUGCUCCACACCUGCCUUUGGAGGGGGCUGCAUGUGAGGAUUCUGUCAGGCCACCGCAGCUUGCAGCAGCUGCCAACCUGAGGACGAGGGCUGGAUAAUUUACAAUGCAAGGAAUCCAUUCUUUUUGAGAGGGGGAAGGGAGAAAUCAAGAUUUAAGCUCCUUAUCCUGGGCUGAACUUUUCUCCUCCAUUCUUAAUGGCACUGGGCGUAAAUAAACCAUCCAUUUUGCUUUGUAGAACUGGCUGGUCUUUGCACAAACUCACUGGAAUCGACAGCCCAGGUUCAGAACCAAGACCACAGGUCUAGGCUGUAACCGAUUUGUAAACAAUACUAAUUUACAUUUUCCCACUGUCUGUUAGCCUUAUCAGGACCUGUCUUUCUAUUCUUCUGCCCCCAACAUCUGCAGAGAAAGUUUUUUUUUUUUUAUUGUCAGCUACUAAUGGUUCUUCUGUCCCAUAUUUUUAAUGUGAAGAUUAAAUAUUUAUAAAUGCCUUGUCAAUAGCAUCCCAUAACCAGGCCCUCUCGAAGCCACAAAGCAUGGACCUAAGCUCACUCCCACGAAGUCAGGGGUCACAGGUCAAGCGAGCAGUGAACAGCAGCCAUGAAGCACAUCUGCUGUCACUAAGUCUGGACAAUUAUUUAUGGGGCAGGGCUCUUCCUUAAAAGGCCCACAGCAUGGCAAGGGAAGUUUCCUUUGUCUCAGUCAAGCUCCUCUGGCCAAGUAGUUACUGGAAUCAGACUCCCAGCCGUGGGGCAGGCAACCAGCCUGGAUACCAUCUGCUUGGAGAAGAAUGCAGGAAGCACCUACAAGUGAAAGACUUAGGAGUGGGGAACAGGGAUGAUGAAAAGGAUGAGACACGAAGGUCCCGUGCCUCAGACAAGGAUUGGUUGGAAAUAGUAGAUUUUAAACAGGUGUGUGUGAAUCCCCUGGGCAUUUGGACAUAGGUGAGCCCGGGAACGAGGCUACAUAGAGCAUCCUGGGAAGGAGGGGGUGGCAGAGUUCAGCAGGAAGCAGCUCAUGAGCAAGGACAGGAAGAAAUGUCUCCAAAAGGUCAAUAGACCCAUGAAGCCAAUGCUUCCACCAGUCAAUAGUCACAUGACGAUGGGAGAUGGGAAUGGCCGCCCCAGAAGAGUUGGCGGGGACAUCCCUUCCAGCUGCAGGUAUACACAUCUGUUCUUCUGUAGAGCGGUUCCUGGUCCUUGGGGGUGAACAUCUGUGUGGCUAGAAGUUCUC
rnacentral:sRNA from 1 species